AACGAACGCUGGCGGCAUGCCUAACACAUGCAAGUCGAACGAGACCUUCGGGUCUAGUGGCGCACGGGUGCGUAACGCGUGGGAACCUGCCCUUAGGUUCGGAAUAACUCCCCGAAAGGGGUGCUAAUACCGGAUAAUGUCUUCGGACCACAGGUUUAUCGCGUUUGUAUGGGCCCGCGUGGGAUUAGCUAGUUGGUAGGGGAAAAGCCUACCAAGGCGACGAUCCAUAGCUGGUCUGAGAGGAAGAUCAGCCACACUGGGACUGGGACACGGCCCAGACUCCUACGCGAGGCAGGAGUGGGGAAUAUUGGAAAAUGGGGGAAAGGAUGAUCCAGCAAUGCCGGGUGAGUGAUGAAGGCCGUAGGGUUGUAAAGCUCUUUUACCCGGGAUGAUAAUGACAGUACCGGGAGAAUAAGCUCCGGCUAACUACGUG
rnacentral:rRNA from 1 species